AAGGUAACGGCUUACCAAGGCAACGAUGCAUAGCCGACCUGAGAGGGUGAUCGGCCACACUGGAACUGAGACACGGUCCAGACUCCUACGGGAGGCAGCAGUAGGGAAUCUUCCGCAAUGGGCGAAAGCCUGACGGAGCAACGCCGCGUGAGUGAUGAAGGUCUUCGGAUCGUAAAACUCUGUUAUUAGGGAAGAACAUAUGUGUAAGUAACUGUGCACAUCUUGACGGUACCUAAUCAGAAAGCCACGGCUAACUACGUGCCAGCAGCCGCGGUAAUACGUAGGUGGCAAGCGUUAUCCGGAAUUAUUGGGCGUAAAGCGCGCGUAGGCGGUUUUUUAAGUCUGAUGUGAAAGCCCACGGCUCAACCGUGGAGGGUCAUUGGAAACUGGAAAACUUGAGUGCAGAAGAGGAAAGUGGAAUUCCAUGUGUAGCGGUGAAAUGCGCAGAGAUAUGGAGGAACACCAGUGGCGAAGGCGACUUUCUGGUCUGUAACUGACGCUGAUGUGCGAAAGCGUGGGGAUCAAACAGGAUUAGAUACCCUGGUAGUCCACGCCGUAAACGA
rnacentral:rRNA from 1 species